GAGAGUAUAGCUCAGUGGUAGAGUGCAUGCCUAGCAUGCAUAAGGGUCCUGGGUUCAAUUCCCAGUACCUCCA
rnacentral:tRNA from 1 species